ACAUUUUCGUCGGGGCAGAUUGAAGUUUGUCAUUUUGCUUCAGACAAAACGAGAUUGAAAGCUAAAGCGAUAAUCAAAAACAAAGUAAUGGGUCCUCUAGAGGAAAAUGGUGACCUCUACCGAAUCAAUUACAGCAACAUUCCAGAUGAAAAUUCUGCUGAUUUGGUGGUCGCGAGAACAAAAGUUUUUCGAUUUCUGUCUACAAUCGGCGAAUACUGCUUUUUCAUGAAAAACUGUGAAAAUUUUGCGACAUUUUGUAAAACCGGCUUUAUCAUCAGAGACCAGCUUGAGUGGUUGAUAUCACAGGUGAAACAAUCAAUGCACCUUGGGAUUGGGCUUCAAUAUGCACACUGCUUCCCGUAUGAAGGUAUAGCAGCAUUGACCGGCGGUGAAAAUAGCGUAGGUGCUUUUUUGCUGGUCCUAGGUGAAAUUCAAAUGUAUUCCGUAGACAUUGAUGAGAUAAACUCCAAUGAAGGGAUCUCUAAAAAAGAUUAAAUUCUUGAACAAAUCCAGCGGUUAUCUGCAUGUGUAGGAGGAGCGGCUCUGGGCGCUACUGGAAGCUAUGCUUUAGGGCAGCUGAUUGGAUCAACAGUGGGUAGCCAGAUCGGUGGGCCUUCCGGAUAUUUUGUGGGUAAAAUGAUUGGCACCUGGCUCGGCGGCAGGAUUGGCAAAUAUAUAGAGAUCUAAGGACUACUUCGAGAAACCGUACAAGUGUGCUUUAAAGUGAGAUACCCUAGAGAGCGGCGGCAACAACACAACGCACAUUGAAACGGAAUCUCACCCUAAUCAUGUUAGGGUCACCGAGCGGGAAGACUUUCAUGUUGUGCAACACGCGCGCGGAAUUAAACAUUUCUGUGUACUUGGACUUAGUAGAGAGGUGAAUACGGAACUGUUAUCUACUGUCAUAUCGACGAAGGGUUCUUUUGUAAAAGGCAUCAGUGUGUUUCCGGUACGGAAAACGCAAGUCGGGGCUGGUAAAACUAACUCUCGCGUCAGAUGAAAACACCCAUUAUGUGCUGGCCGAGCUUCGUAACAUGUGAGCUGUGGUGGUCACAUAGGUCGCACCGGGAAUCUAGGAAUGGGUCGACAACCACAAGACUGGAUAGGAGUGCCGGCGUCCGCCGGAAUUUGGGCAAUCGAAUCGCCUCAUCUAGGGCGAAAGGUGUCGACGGAACCUUCAGGGAACCAAGCGCGCGCCUGGCGAGUCGGCCGUCGGGGCCUCUUCGUGUUAUUCCUCCCAGGUUUAGAGCGACAAUGCGACAAAUGGCGGAUGGACGGCGAGCGAAUGGAGGCACACAGAGAGAGAGCGCGAGUGGAUAAACCCAUUCAGUACAUUGUCUGAGUUAGUGGACUUAUAAACGGACAUUUAUAAGUCAUUAAUAGUUAAACUUGUGAUUGUACUUAUGAUUAUGCGAACCUUGUUAAUAAUUUUUACUAUAUUUAUGAGUAUGUGCCAGUGCAACUUAUCUUUGUGAUGUAUUAGCCCAGGGUUUUUGUGGAAUAUCAGAACAUUGGCUGCUGCCAUCCAACUCGCAUUUCAUAAACCUAAUAUCAAUUGAUUACAAUCACUAUACAUGUUGUAUUAAACUCUGAAGCAAUGUAGGAUAGGAAAGGGCGGUGUCUCUUUACUUUGGCAUAUACGUUUUGACCAUUUUAUUUCACUAUUGGAUAUAAAUGAUGAUCGUAUUGUAGGUAUUUAAUUCCAAGUUGUAACUGGACAAUGCAUGUAUAUUUUUCAAGUAUACCUGCCUUGUGUGAACCACUCUUUUGAGAUAUAUCAUGACUCUAUUUCCAUAUUGUAUGAUAUUGUAUCACACUUACAGCGAAAUUGGCCAAACGAUUUUCAUGGGUGACUUUAACGCCAAGGUGCGCGUGCCAUUGUUUAACAGCCGAAAUACGUUUUUUAAAUGCUUGUUACAUGUGUCCUGUAAAUACAAUGUCAUCUUGUGUACGUUCUGUUAAAACCUACGCAUCAUAUGACGGUUGCUGUACGUCACUUAUAGACUAUAUAUGUAUACCACGGGAGAAUAUAGACUGUGUGACACAUUGAGAAGUUGCGGAUGAGUAUUGUUUAAACGUUUCUCGACAUAUACUAUUAUAAAUUUGUUGCUUGUC